UACGGAGGGUGCAAACGUUGCUCGGAAUCAUUGGGCGUAAAGCGCACGUAGGCGGCCUGUUAAGUCGGGUGUGAAAGCUCUGGGCUCAACCCAGGAAGUGCACUCGAAACUGGCGGGCUUGAAUAUGGAAGAGGGUCGCGGAAUUCCCGGUGUAGAGGUGAAAUUCGUAGAUAUCGGGAGGAACACCAGUGGCGAAGGCGGCGACCUGGGCCAAUAUUGACGCUGAGAAGCGAAAGCAUGGGGAGCGAACAGG
rnacentral:rRNA from 1 species